rnacentral:rRNA from 1 species
GGGUUGUCAUGCCAAUGGCACUGCCCGGUAGCUAAAUGCGGAAGAGAUAAGUGCUGAAAGCAUCUAAGCACGAAACUUGCCCCGAGAUGAGUUCUCCCUGAGACUAUAAGUCUCCUGAAGGAACGUUAAAGACGAUGACGUUGAUAGGCCGGGUGUGUAAACGCAGCGAUGCGUUGAGCUAACCGGUACUAAUGAACCGUGAGGCUUAACCUUACAACGCCGAAG